ACGCGAAGAACCUUACCUGGGUUUGAAUGUCACCUGUAAGCCUCAGAGAUGAGGUCCCCUCUUCGGAGGCAGGUGGCGAGGUGCUGCAUGGCUGUCGUCAGCUCGUGUCGUGAGAUGUUGGGUUAAGUCCCGCAACGAGCGCAACCCUUGUCCAUAGUUACUAACGGGUCAUGCUGAGAACUCUAUGGAGACUGCCGGUGAUAAACCGGAGGAAGGUGGGGAUGACGUCAAGUCCUCAUGGCCUUUAUGUCCAGGGCUACACACGUGCUACAAUGGGCGGCACAAAGAGUUGCGAUCCCGCGAGGGGGAGCUAAUCUCAAAAAACCGCUCUCAGUUCGGAUUGCAGUCUGCAACUCGACUGCAUGAAGCUGGAAUCGCUAGUAAUCGCGGAUCAGCACGCCGCGGUGAAUACGUUCCCGGGCCUUGUA
rnacentral:rRNA from 1 species